AAAUUAUGCAAUUUAAGUUUCUAAAAGUUAAGCCAUUUACCCAGGGCAAGCCACAAACUGACUGACUUAGCUGAUUCAGGACUUUGUCCAGGUCUGCUUAACUCCAAAGCCAAUCUUCUUCCUCUGAGGAAGAAUUGAGUGGAAGUGAAAAUUUGGAUGGAAAGUCCCAGCCACCAGUAACAUUCCUCAGUGCACCACUAGAGUCCCCUCCCCAGUACCCAUUCCCAGUUUGGAUCUUGAAAGUGUUGUUUCAAGCCAAGUGACGGGUCUUCUACUUCUCUUUUCUUGACUCAUUUUUAAUUUUUGUGCUUCUCGGGGAUGCUUCCUCUGCUUGUCUUUCCCCCCUUGACUCUUGUCUCCUUCCUCUCCCCCAUCAGGUUUAUGGGGGACAAAAGCGCCACCUGUUGGUCAUGUUGUAGGGACUUAUUUGAAGUAGGAAAUCAUUGGAAUGAAGCCAGGAUCUCUGGGAUGCCAUACUAGCCUGAUGGGGACCAGGUCCUUGUUCUAGUCGGAAACCCACUUGUUUUGUGUUGAAUAGGAAACUGGCUGCAGUUCCCACAUUCUCUGAGAAUCCCACCCAAAUCUCCUGCUUCCUCUCCACUUCCUCUUGGCAGCUCAUGGUAGCUGCUUUACUGCAGAGAAACUUGGAAUGAGGGUGGGAUGUAUAGUGCAGAGAAAUGCCCUGCAAUUGUAGGAGUGAAACUGAGGAAAACGUGCUAAAGCUAAGGCAGAAAAUAUGAGUUCUACUUUCAGGUCAAAUGCCCAGCCAAGUCUUUCUCUUUCCCUGGUUUUCAUAGCAAUUCUUAAUUUCCCCAGACUCUUAGAUUGGGCCAGGCUCCGUCCUGGUCCACAGCUGAAAGCUCAGAGACAAGUCAGAUACUGUCCCAGCUUACAGACUGUGGCAGGCAGCCACACAGUGUUUUACAUGACAAGAGAGCUGUGAAGUAACCAGGUCACUCACUCAUCUUUAGACUCUACCUUGACUUCUGCCUAAGCCUCUUGUGAAAAUAGGAAGAACAUACCCAGUUCUUUCUGCCAAGGUAUGAUGAGCUUUGUCACUGGCAGGUGAGGGUUUUCUGCUCUAUGGCAAACGAGGUGGACACGUUGAGGCUCUGGCCUGGGCUGCCUCUCAUCUUCAAGGGUGAGGAGACUAGAGACAAGAAACCUGGACCUUACUUGAGGAAAACAGCCCCCACCGUUGGUAGUCCCCAUUUUUCAGAUGGGAGGGACUCAGGAUGACUCAGGCUUCCUGGAGGAGCUUGACUCUGUGUUGAGAUUUGAAGAAUGAGAGAGUAGGAACAGCUGCUCUGGUUCCUAUGAAACCUCUUCCUCCAUCCAUUGGAAUCUUA
rnacentral:lncRNA from 1 species